UACGUAGGGGGCAAGCGUUGUCCGGAAUCAUUGGGCGUAAAGCGCGUGUAGGCGGCCCGAUAAGUCCGCUGUGAAAGUCCAGGGCUCAACCCUGGGAUGCCGGUGGAUACUGUCGGGCUCGAGUCCGGAAGAGGCGAGUGGAAGUUCCUGGUGUAGCGGGUGAAAUGCGCAGAUAUCAGGAGGAACACCAAUGGCGAAGGCAGCUCGCUGGGACGUGACUGACGCUGAGACGCGAAAGCGUGGGGAGCAAACAGG
rnacentral:rRNA from 1 species